GGCGGACGGGUGAGUAACACGUAGGUAACCUACCCUAGGGAUCGGGAUACUCCCGAGAAAUCGGGGACAAUACCGGGUAUCAUUACAGGGCGAAAUUCCCAGUAAUAAAAGCUGCGAGCAAUCGUGGCGCCUUAGGAUGGGCCUGCGGCCUAUCAGCUUGUUGGUGAGGUAACGGCUUACCAAGGCUAUGACGGGUAACCGGACUGAGAGGUCGAUCGGUCACACUGGAACUGAGACACGGUCCAG
rnacentral:rRNA from 1 species